rnacentral:rRNA from 1 species
UACGUAGGUGGCAAGCGUUGUCCGGAUUUACUGGGCGUAAAGGGCGUGCAGGCGGCUUGUUAAGUGCAGGGUGAAAGCUCCCGGCUCAACUGGGAGAGGUUCUUGCAUACUGGCGAGCUCGAGGGAGGCAGAGGAAAGUGGAAUUCCCGGUAUAGUGGUGAUAUGCGUAGAUAUCGGGAGGAACACCUGUGGCGAAGGCGGCUUUCUGGGCCUUACCUGACGCUGAGACGCGAAAGCGUGGGGAGCGAACCGG